AGCCCAGAACGAUGAUACCUUAAAUAAGAAUGAAAAAAACCGGUUAAAGAAUAUCUUACAAAACAUUCAUGAUGCCGAGUCCUCGGAUUUCAUAAAUKUGAUUACAAAAGGUA